rnacentral:tRNA from 1 species
GCCCGAGUGGUGGAAUGGUAGACACAAGGGACUUAAAAUCCCUCGGACAUUGUGUCCGUGCCGGUUCAAGUCCGGCCUUGGGCACCA